GAAAACCGGAAGCUGGUGGGCACCAGAGGAAUACGUCAGACAUGUGGCAGUGGUGUGUGCCACAAGGGCUGGGUGAGGAAAUCAGGCUGACGAUCAACUAGCCUGUGAUGGAAGAUGUUAAGUUGUGGUAGCAGCACUGUUCUUCCUUUGUUCCCUCCUUCCUUCCUUCCCUUUUCCUUCCUUCCUUCCUCCCUCCCUCCCUCCUUUUUUCUUCCU